rnacentral:rRNA from 4 species
CUUGACCUCAAAUCAGGU